GACGUCCACAAACUGGGCGUCAUCUCGGGACAGAGUGUUCUGGUUGUCGGCGUGCUCGAAGGUCGGACCAGCAGGAUCCAGACCUGGUCAGGCUAGACUCAGGUCUAGCUCAAGUCCAGGUCACGUGACUCGAGUCCACACCUCUGGAUAAAGACGCACAAAAGCAGAGAGGAAUGUCUCUUUUCCAAAAUACAAAAGGCCUGCUUUUCUUCAUGCACACAUGGACCUGAAUGGUAUGAAAUCGGAUGCAGACCUGCAGACCUGAACUGCGAUUCACGGGGUUACUCUCGGUCAACACGGAUGCAUUAAUUAACCUGCAUUUGAUUAUUUCAUCACAGAGCUGCGCAUGAAUCACAAAAAUAAAUAAAAAACACAAACGCACUGAUAGUGU